UACGUAGGGUGCAAGCGUUAAUCGGAAUUACUGGGCGUAAAGCGUGCGCAGGCGGUUGUGCAAGACAGAUGUGAAAUCCCCGGGCUCCAACCUGGGAAUUGGCAUUUGUGACUGCACGGCUAGAGUGUGUCAGAGGGGGGUAGAAUUCCACGUGUAGCAGUGAAAUGCGUAGAGAUGAUGGAGGAAUACCGAUGGCGAAGGCAGCCCCCUGGGAUAACACUGACGCUCAUGGC
rnacentral:rRNA from 1 species